AUUGAACGCUGGCGGCAUGCUUUACACAUGCAAGUCGAACGGUAACAGGCCGCAAGGUGCUGACGAGUGGCGAACGGGUGAGUAAUGCAUCGGAACGUGCCCAGUCGUGGGGGAUAACGCAACGAAAGCUGCGCUAAUACCGCAUACGAUCUACGGAUGCAAGCGGGGGACCGUACGGCCUAGCGACGUUGGAGCGGUGGGUGUCAGAUUAGGUAGUUGGUGGGGUGAAGGCUCACCAAGCCAACGAUCUGUAGCUGGUCUGAGAGGACGACCAGCCACACUGGGACUGAGACACGGCCCAGACUCCUACGGGAGGCAGCAGUGGGGAAUUUUGGACAAUGGGCGCAAGCCUGAUACAGCAAUGCCGCGUGCAGGAAGAAGGCCUUCGGGUUGUAAACUGCUUUUGUACGGAACGAAACGGUCCUGGUUAAUACCUGGGGCUAAUGACGGUACCGUAAGAAUAAGCACCGGCUAACUACGUGCCAGCCGCCGCCGUAACAC
rnacentral:rRNA from 1 species